UAGGUUCAGAAAACUGUGUCGAACAGAAGCUGAGAACACCUCGCAGAAGAUGUCAGCAGCCCAAAAUGCUGAAUAGCCCUGAGGAUAACAUGUACUAUAACCAGUUAAACGGAACUCUAGAAUAUCAAGGGAGCAAGAGGAAGCCAAGAAAAUUUGGGCAAAUCAAAGUGCUUGAUGGGGAAGAUGAAUAUUACAAAUCACUGUCUGCUGUGGAUUCCGUCCCUGAAGAAGACAGUUCCGUCCAGUAUUCCCUACUUUCCUCCCCCUCCAGAGGAGAGUCUUUGGCUAAAAGCUGAGCUAUACUACCUGCCCCUUAAUCUGCUGCUACUGGUUGCCUUUGUUCCUUUUCUCUGUCCUCCUGCCUGGAAGAAAUUGAGGAAAAACUGACUGCGGAAACUUCCCUGGUCCGGAAAUCUGCCCUUGGCUGCCACGGCGUUGGAGAGCUUCUGCUGGGCUGUGGCCGCUUCGCUCGGCUGCGCACCGGGCUGCGUCUCCUCGGGUGCUGGAGUGGCUCCGAGCCAGCCCGCAGGGAUUCUAAACUGCCCCACCUCGGUUCAAGUUUUCUCGACAUUCAGGUAAUGCCUACUCCGGGGCCGAAGCCCCACGUGGCAUUCUUGCUUUCACUUGGUGGAGAGGGAAAGAGAAAAUGAAGUACAAUCCUCUCCCGCUUGUUAAAUCCGUGAUCCAGAAGCUAAUUGGUGGAGCUGACCUCCCACCUUUUCCAGUCCUCCCUCGCCAACUCCCAAACCGAUUCCCCCUUUUUUUCUGCCUAGGAUCUAUGCACUUGUUUGUGAGCCCGGCGCGCCGCUCUCCCGGGUAUACUCCCUUUAGGCUUCUGCAAGCUUGCGGUGCAUUUGGUCUUUUCAUGUCUCUUUCUAUUAUGGCGGAGCAGCCACACACUUUUUCAUGAGAGCGGUGCUUUGUGUAAAAGCAUUGGCAUUUGGCCUUGAUACCUGUAUCUCUUGAUGAUUGCAACAAAUUUCUAAAAUAAAUAUUGUACUUUGAUCUCCCGCGCAUUGCAUUUUUAAUGUAACACCACUUCGUUAAGAAUAAAUUUCAGGAGGCCCAGAGGGCUCACGGUGUUAAUUAUCGGUGAAAAAAAUAUCCUCAAACUUCUCUACAAGCCAGAGAGAUCUGGAACCAGGGCAGUUGUCCCAUUUGGGUAACAAAAGAAGCUAAUUGGGCAGGUGCAUCUCUUAUCCAACUUGAUGCCCGAGUACUCCUUGAUCCCAGUGUAUCCUCUGCCUGCAGGAGCGAGGAGGAUGCUUUCGCAAAAGUCGUAUUCCUAUUCUUAAGAAAGGACUUAUGUAGAAAGUUCUCUCUCGUAGUUAAAACAAGCUUUGGAAAUGGUGGCGGGGGUGUUUCAUUAUAUCUUU